rnacentral:rRNA from 1 species
AAAGCCACAUGGCUUUUGUUUGAAAGAUGGCUUUGGCUAUCACUCUGGGAUGGACCUGCGGUGCAUUAGCUAGUUGGUAAGGUAACGGCUUACCAAGGCGAUGAUGCAUAGCCGAGUUGAGAGACUGAUCGGCCACAAUGGAACUGAGACACGGUCCAUACUCCUACGGGAGGCAGCAGUAGGGAAUCUUCCACAAUGGGCGCAAGCCUGAUGGAGCAACACCGCGUGAGUGAAGAAGG